GCUGAACUUAAGCAUAUCAAUAAGCGGAGGAAAAGAAACCAACAGGGAUUGCCUUAGUAACGGCGAGUGAAGCGGCAAAAGCUCAGAUUUGAAAUCUGAUGUNGUUAAACAUCUGAGUUGUAAUCUGUAGAGAAGUACUUUAUGUCAGAUAUUAGCUUAAGUCCUUUGGAAUAGGGCGUCAUAGAGGGUGAGAAUCCCGUUCAUGGCUUUUGUUCUGUUCAUUUGUAAGUCUUCUUCAACGAGUCGAGUUGUUUGGGAAUGCAGCUCUAAAUGGGUGGUAAAUUUCAUCUAAAGCUAAAUAUUGGCAAGAGACCGAUAGCGCACAAGUAGAGUAAUCGAAAGAUGAAAAGAACUCUGGACAGAGAGUUAAACAGUACGUGAAAUUGUUGAAAGGGAAGCACUUGCUACCAGACGCACUUGCAGUUAAUCAGCCUUUAAUUUUAAUGGUGCACUUAGCUGUACGUGGGUCAGCAUCAGUUUUGUUGGCGGGAAAAAGAUUGGAGAAAUGUAGCUUCACUUGUGAAGUAUUAUAGUCUUCGGUUAGUACUGCCUGAUGGGACUGAGGACCGCACAUUUUGUGAGGAUGCUGACAUAAUGGUCGUAAGUGACCCGUCUUGAAACACGGACCAAGGAGUCUAACAUCUAUGCGAGUAUUUGGGUUAAAAAACCCUUAUGCGAAAUGAAAGUGAAUGUAGGUGGGAACCGAAAGGUGCACCAUCGACCGAUCCUGAUGUUUUCGGAUGGAUUUGAGUAGGAGCAUAGCUGUUGGGACCCGAAAGAUGGUGAACUAUGCCUGAAUAGGGUGAAGCCAGAGGAAACUCUGGUGGAGGCUCGCAGCGGUUCUGACGUGCAAAUCGAUCGUCAAAUUUGGGUAUA
rnacentral:rRNA from 2 species